GUCGCACGAGAACGGGGUAGCAAUAUCCCUAGUAAAGUGGCGGAAGGGUGAGCAAUAGGUAGAUGACGUACCCUGAAGAUGGGGAUAACGCGCCGAAAGGUGCGCUAAUACCCGAUAUGACCACGAGUUUAAAGACUUGUGGUAAAAUGCGGAGGACCUUUGGGCUUCGCGCUUUAGGAUCGGUCUACUUCCUACCAGCUAGUUGGCGGGGUAAUGGCCCACCAAGGCUACGACGGGUACCCGGGCUAAGAGGCUGACCGGGCACAUCGGCACUGAAACACUGGCCGGACACCUACGGGUGGCUGCAGUUCGGAAUAUUCGGCAAUGGACGAAAGUCUGACCGAGCGACGCCGCGUGAAGGAUGAAGGCCCUUUGGGUUGUAAACUUCUGUCAGGGGUGAGCAAAUCGGUUUACGCUAAUAACGUAGAUCGUUGAGUUAGGCCCUAAAGGAAGCCCCCGCUAAUCACGUGCCAGCAGCGGCGGUAAUACGUGAGGGGCGAACGUUGUUCGGUGUCACUGGGCUUAAAGGGCGCGUAGGCGGCUUUGCAAGUAAGGUGUGAAAUCCCCCGGCUUACCCGGGGAACUGCAUCUUAAACUGCAUAGCUUGAGGACCAGAGAGGUGGGAGGAACUCCAGGUGUAGCGGUGAAAUGCGUAGAUAUCUGGGGGAAGGCCGGAGGCGAAGGCGUCCCACUGGCUGGUUCCUGACGCUGAGGCGCGAAAGCGUGGGGAGCAAACAGGAUUAGAUACCCUGGUAGUCCACGCCCUAAACGAUGGAUACUAAGCGGGAGGCCCCCUAGGGUUUCCUGCCGUAGCGAAAGCGUUAAGUAUCCCGCCUGGGGAGUAUGGUCGCAAGGCUGAAACUCAAAGGAAUUGACGGGGGCUCACACAAGCGGUGGAGCAUGUUGCUCAAUUCGAUGCAACGCGAAGAACCUUACCCGGGCACGAAGCGUACGGAUUAACUCUAUGAAAGUAGAGCGACGACUUACCGUG
rnacentral:rRNA from 1 species